rnacentral:rRNA from 1 species
UCUGCCAAGAGCACCGCUGGGUAGCUACGUAUGGAUUAGAUAAUCGCUGAAAGCAUCUAAGUGAGAAACUAACCUCGAGAUGAGAUUUCCCAUUCGUCAGAAGUAAGACCCCUGAGAGACGAUCAGGUAGAUAGGCUAGAAGUGGAAGUGUAGUGAUGCAUGGAGCGGACUAGUACUAAUAGGUCGAGGACUUAACCAAG